rnacentral:pre_miRNA from 1 species
UUCAAAGUAAAAGUUGCAUCCUUAGAAACAUGUUGGCUGCAACCUUUACUUUGAACCC